CUUAGGUCCUCCCGCAACGCUAAACUGCAAACCCCGCCAGGCCCGGAAGGGAGCAACGGUAGCAGUGGCUGCGUGUGCCGGGAUGUGGCUUUUGGGG
rnacentral:SRP_RNA from 1 species